rnacentral:ncRNA from 2 species
AUAAUCGUGAAGCAAUAAGGUCUCAAUUUUAACAUUGAGUGAAAAGGGAAGUUUGGUGCAAGUCCAACGCGGUCCCGCCACUGUAAACGUUAGAUGUCUAAAGAUGCCACUGUUUGAAAAGUGGGAAGGCUUAGUACAUCAUAUACGUAAGUCAGGAGACCUGCCUUAUUGUCAACUGUGAA